AGAGUUUGAUCCUGGCUCAGGACGAACGCUGGCGGCGCGCCUAACACAUGCAAGUCGAACGAGCGAGAGGAGGUUUACUUUCUCAAGCGAGUGGCGAACGGGUGAGUAACGCGUGAGGAACCUGCCUCAAAGAGGGGGACAACAGUUGGAAACGACUGCUAAUACCGCAUAAGCCCACGGCUCGGCAUCGAGCAGAGGGAAAAGGAGCAAUCCGCUUUGAGAUGGCCUCGCGUCCGAUUAGCUAGUUGGUGAGGUAAUGGCCCACCAAGGCGACGAUCGGUAGCCGGACUGAGAGGUUGAACGGCCACAUUGGGACUGAGACACGGCCCAGACUCCUACGGGAGGCAGCAGUGGGGAAUAUUGCACAAUGGGGGAAACCCUGAUGCAGCGACGCCGCGUGGAGGAAGAAGGUCUUCGGAUUGUAAACUCCUGUUGUUGAGGAAGAUAAUGACGGUACUCAACAAGGAAGUGACGGCUAACUACGUGCCAGCAGCCGCGGUAAAACGUAGGUCACAAGCGUUGUCCGGAAUUACUGGGUGUAAAGGGAGCGCAGGCGGGAAGACAAGUUGGAAGUGAAAUCCAUGGGCUCAACCCAUGAACUGCUUUCAAAACUGUUUUUCUUGAGUAGUGCAGAGGUAGGCGGAAUUCCCGGUGUAGCGGUGGAAUGCGUAGAUAUCGGGAGGAACACCAGUGGCGAAGGCGGCCUACUGGGCACCAACUGACGCUGAGGCUCGAAAGUGUGGGUAGCAAACAGGAUUAGAUACCCUGGUAGUCCACACUGUAAACGAUGAUUACUAGGUGUUGGAGGAUUGACCCCUUCAGUGCCGCAGUUAACACAAUAAGUAAUCCACCUGGGGAGUACGACCGCAAGGUUGAAACUCAA
rnacentral:rRNA from 1 species